GGCACCGCGGUGGCGGUGUGCGCGGGAGUAGGGAGGGUGGAAGGGUUAAUCGGAAUUACUGGGGGUAAAGGGAAGGCAGGAGGUUGGAUAAGUUAGAUGUGAAAUCCCCGGGCUUAACCGGGGAACUGCGUUUGAAACUACAGAGCUAGAGUGUGGCAGAGGGGGGUGGAAUUCCAUGUGUAGCAGUGAAAUGCGUAGAGAUAUGGAAGAACAUCGAUGGCGAAGGCAGCCCCCUGGGUCAACACUGACGCUCAUGCACGAAAGCGUGGGGAGCAAACAGGAUUAGAUACCCCAGUAGUC
rnacentral:rRNA from 1 species